rnacentral:lncRNA from 1 species
ACACCAUUCAUAAUGAUAUUAAAAUAUUUUUUUUAUUAAAAUCUCAUAAUCGUACAUGGUCAAAAGGCCUACAGAAAUAAUAUUCAAUAAAAAUAAAGGACAAAAGUGAUAGUCACUAAGAACAAUUAUAUUGGACCUGAAUACAAGCUUAAUAAUCCCUAACACUAGAAUUAAAAAUGAUCUUCUAUCUCCAACAUUAAGAAAUCUUUCGCCUUCUUCAAAUCUCCUAC